CGCACCACGAGGCGGGAACCUUAUUAAAGCUCUUCAGAAAUGUUCUAGUUUAUCAUUAACAACAUGUUCUAACUCAGUCUCUGCUUCCGUCUCUCAGUGAGCAUCAGCUGCAGUGAGAAGAAGAGUAACCCAACAGCAGCUCUCCAGAUUCUCUCCUCCACUCGCCUCAGCCUACAGAGUCUGGCUACCAAAGCCAAGCAAAUCCAUACAGAUGUUGCAACAGGUGAAGUCCAUGCUGAUCUACAGGACAGUGUCACUGCUCUGGAACAGCUGAUCACAGAGCUGCAGAAGCUGAGCGGGAGAUUCCGGAACCUAUCCCAGUGACAGUUCUCAGACACAUCACCUUUUCUUUACAUAUCCAACCUUCACAGCUGUGAUCUGAUGGAAACUAUGCUCCCUGUCCCUGUUUAUCGAGACGUUUUUAUACCUUUUUUUCCAUAAUAUAACGUGAACAGUUGUUGAAAGGCAUCAAGAAGUAAAUUGAAUGAUUAAUUCCCUCACAGUUUUUGUUUUUUGUUUUUGUGAAAAAUACAGUUGAAAUAAAAUAUUGACAUAAACUGUUUAAAAGGAAGUAUAUGACCUCUGUCCACAACCCCAAUGUCUGACAUAAAAUCUGACGUUUUUGUUUUAGGUCAGCAAAAUCAUUUUUGUUCAAUAAAUGUCAGAAAAAUUA